UGACUUUGGUUUUGGACCUGUUUAUGGA
rnacentral:sRNA from 1 species